UUCCAAUACAACUGCCUUGCAAGACAUGUUAAAAGAAGUUAUUUAGAAAGAAGAAAAAUUAUACAAAUCAAAAACUGGGAUCAACAUAAAGAAAGGAAGAGCAUCAGAGAAGGAACAAGUGAAGGUGAAGUAUUCUACAAUGGAAGGACAAAAAAAGGAAAAAGAAAAGAAAAGAAAACCCAAUCAAGUCUGUGGGUUUGAGAUAUGGGUCCCUGAGAAAGGAUUCUGUCCAGGUGGGAC
rnacentral:lncRNA from 10 species